CAGCUGAUUAAUCAUGGACGGAGGGAAAAGUCUAACCCAGAAUUUGUACAAGGAUUUCAGGAAAAGAGAUUUCCAUCAAGUGUGUGGACAAUGCUGCUGGAUUUCCUGGUGUAGUCGUCUAUGGUACACAAACAUUCCCCAUUUCAUCUCAAAAAGGGAGUGUAGAUGAGGAGGCCAUGGAAUGGGAGCCAUCAGAGGUGAAGCCACACCCAAAGGCCAGAAAUUUGACAUCCAUGGAGGAGGAGACCCCGAUGGAGAUAGAUUGAAAAAAUGUAUAAGAACCUGUUCUCUGUAA